AAACUCCCCUGGGUUCAAUCCCUGGUACCACUCCCCCCCCCACCCCCACCAAAACUACCUGUGUACUAAUUGAAUGAAAGUGGAGCAUCUCUUCCAUUCAGGGCAGAUGUUCUGCAUGUUGRAGUCACUGUUGAAUCAAAAUGAAGUUUCUGCUCUAAGUUUUCACUCACAGCCUUCGAUCUCUCCCCUUCUCAGUUCUUCACUGGCACAACGGGAGGGAAACAAAAGAGUUCCGCUAACCCAGAGAGCGACGCUAAGGAAUCUGGGGGCCAAGGCGGGGAAUMGGGAGCUCGGCGACCGGAAAUACCUUUGGGUGCGUCCGCUCUAGGACCGCGAGAAACUCAGGUUACACGAACUCAGUGGUGCGGGGGCUAGAAAACUAAGGUGACCUCAGAAAAGAUGGCUGCGUCCUAGGCUCUAUUCAUUUUAGAAAAAGUCCCUGAAUAGCUUGAAUGUCAACCUGGUGUCAGUAACCUGGAUUAUUCCCCCUAGAAACACUCUGUCCUCUGUUCCUGAGGGUCCCUUGGCGGCUCCACUUGCCCAUAGUUAAUAUGGCCCCGGUUGCUUCGGGUUAUGAGCUCAGGGAGAGCGGCGGCGAGUGAUCCAGAAGUGGAAAAAGAUGGGGUCAGGGAACCUGGUGCCCCCCCCGCCGCCGCCUCAAUUUCUGCAAGAAGUAUUCCUGAACAGAAGUCAUAUUUACUAGCUCUGAGGACACUGGGCAGAAUAUCUCUCAAUGCCUUAGGAGUUCAACGUCGUCUGAGAAAAGAGAAAGCUGAAACCCGGCUGUUAGCCAAAGGCAGAUACCCCUUCAGUGAUUGCAGGUCUUCAGCCUUUCCCAGCGCCUCACACUGCCUCCUCCAGGUGUGUGCCAGAAAAGCUACGUGAACACKUUGAAUAUGCUGACCCCUGCUGACCAUAUGAAAAGGAGCUGGAUUUUAAGUGUAUUAAGGUAUGAUUGUGUAAAAAAUUAGGUGCAUUAAUGGAUGACAGGAUUCAUUUGUUUCAUUUAUUUAUUUUCAAU
rnacentral:lncRNA from 1 species